AGAUUGAACGCUGGCGGCAGGCCUAACACAUGCAAGUCGAGCGGUAGAGAGGUGCUUGCAUCUCUUGAGAGCGGCGGACGGUGAGUAAUGCCUAGGAAUCUGCCUAGUGGUGGGGGAUAACGUUCGGAAACGGACGCUAAUACCGCAUACGUCCUACGGGAGAAAGCGGGGACCUUCGGGCCUCGCGCCAUUAGAUGAGCCUAGGUCGGAUUAGCUAGUUGGUGAGGUAAUGGCUCACCAAGGCGACGAUCCGUAAACUGGUCUGAGAGGAUGAUCAGUCACACUGGAACUGAGACACGGUCCAGACUCCUACGGGAGGCUAGCAGGUGGGAAUAGUUGGAACUAAGUGGGACGAAAAGCCUAGGAAUCCCGAAGCCAAGUGACCGCGUGUGUCGAAGAAGGUACUUCGGAUUGAAAGCACGUUUAAGUGGAGAAGGUUAUAACCUAAGUACGUUAGCUAACUUUGACGUUACGACAGAACUAAGCACCGGCUAACGUC
rnacentral:rRNA from 1 species